rnacentral:rRNA from 1 species
UACGGAGGGUGCAAGCGUUGUCCGGAUUUAUUGGGUUUAAAGGGUGCGUAGGUGGCCCUGUAAGUCCGUGGUGAAAGCCUCUUGCUCAACAAGAGAACUGCCAUGGAUACUGCAGGGCUUGAGUCCAGACGAGGUUGGCGGAAUAGAGGCUGUAGCGGUGAAAUGCAUAGAUAGCCUCUAGAACCCCGAUUGCGUAGGCAGCUGACUAGGCUGGUACUGACACUGAGGCACGAAAGCGUGGGGAG